rnacentral:rRNA from 1 species
AUUGAACGCUGGCGGCAUGCCUUACACAUGCAAGUCGAACGGUAACGCGGGGCAACCUGGCGACGAGUGGCGAACGGGUGAGUAAUACAUCGGAACGUGCCCAGUAGUGGGGGAUAGCCCGGCGAACGCCGGAUCCAUAACGCAUACGACCUACGGGCGAAAGCAGGGGAUGGCAAGACCUUGCGCCAUCGCAGCGGCCGGUGGCAGCUUAGGGAGUUGAUGGGGUAAAGGCGUACCAAGCCGACGAUCUGUAGCUGGUCUGAGCGGACGACCAGCCACACUGGGACUGAGACACGGCCCAGACUCCUACGGGAGGCAGCAGUGGGGAAUUUUGGACAAUGGGCGCAAGCCUGAUCCAGCCAUGCCGCGUGCGGGAAGAAGGCCUUCGGGUUGUAAACCGCUUUUGUCAGGGAAGAAACGGUCUGGGUUAAUACCCUGGGCUAAUGACGGUACCUGAAGAAUAAGCACCGGCUAACUACGUGCCAGCCGCCGCGGUAA